rnacentral:rRNA from 1 species
UACGGGGGGAGCAAGCGUUGUUCGGAUUUACUGGGCGUAAAGGGCGCGUAGGCGGUCAGCACAAGUCAGUUGUGAAAUCUCCGGGCUUAACUCGGAAAGGUCAACUGAUACUGUGCGACUAGAGUGCAGAAGGGGCAACUGGAAUUCUCGGUGUAGCGGUGAAAUGCGUAGAUAUCGGAAGGAACGCCGGUGGCGAAAGCGAGCUGCUGGACCCCUCCUGACGCUGAGGCGCGAAAGCCAGGGUAGCGAACGGG